AGGCUUGUAGCUCAGGUGGUUAGAGCGCACCACUGUUAAGGGUGAGGUCGGUGGUUCAAGUCCACUCAGGCCUACCA
rnacentral:tRNA from 1 species